AAGUCGUAACAAGGUUUCCGUAGGUGAACCUGCGGAAGGAUCAUUAUCGAAUAAACUUGAACAGGCUGUUUCUGCUGGUCCAUAGGACAUGUGCACGCUUGUUCAUCUUUAUCAUUUCUCCAACUGUGCACGUAUUGUAGACCUUGGGGAUGGAAUUCGUUCCGAGUGGGGACUGCUGUGCUUCAAAAAGAGGUCGGCUUUCCCUUUAGGUCUAUGUCAUUUCCUCACAACCACUGUGUUUAGAAUGUAUGAAUUCAAAAAGUUAUAAAAACAACUUUCAGCAACGGAUCUCUUGGCUCUCGCAUCGAUGAGGAACGCAGCGAAAUGCGAUAAGUAAUGUGAAUUGCAGAAUUCAGUGAAUCAUCGAAUCUUUGAACGCAUCUUGCGCUCCUUGGUAUUCCGAGGAGCAUGCCUGUUUGAGUGUCAUUUGAACCCUCAAAACCAUGUUCAAUUCAUUGGACAGUGGCUUUGGACUUGGGGGCUGCAGGCUUUUUCCCUUCGAGAAAGGUCUGCUCCCCUGAAAUGCAUCAGUGGUAUCUGGAGCGGAAACCGCCAGGUGUGAUAACAUCAUCUACGCCUUUGGUAUGCCGCGCAUUGUGCUGCUUCCAACGCGCCCAUUAUUGACAAACUGACCUCAAAUCGGUAGGACUACCCGCUGAACUUAAGCAUAUCAAUAAGCGGAAGAAA
rnacentral:rRNA from 1 species